AACAAAUUCCCAAAAUUGGCCCGUGCUGAGGGCAGGGGUUAACUUAACCCAAUUAAAAAUACUAAGUAGACACUUAGCUUUGAGGGAGGAGUUUGGAGUUGAGAUUCAUCAAAACAUCUUCCAUUUCUUUCAGUCCACAAACAUCAAAAGAAUAAUAGCAGGAAUCAUCUACCAUAUCUUCUUGAUGGCCUUACCCCUAAUCUGUCUUGAAGUUUGCUUGAUGUUCUUGAGGGUGGUGAGAUUUAAACACAUAGUAUUUUAAUAGGUAAUUUGAAGCACAUAAAUUUCAACAUCAGCUGUCAGCGAUUUCGUGAGUAGCUGCCUCUUUCCACAUAAUCCCCCAUAUUUGGGCAAAAAGGAUGAUAUAACUCUUCAGUGUCCACGGGUGUAAGAGACUCUUUCCUUGUGGUAGAAUCCUUAUUCAGCAACAACCUCAUAGAAGCGUUGUGCAGCGUGACGUGAGGAAUGAUAUCAGGCGUACAGUCAAGAACAUCCCCAAGUACGCUUCAGCAGAGCUCUACAUAGAUAAUGUUUUGCCACGCGUCAAGGAGAAGAAGAUAAUGUCACUAAAACCUUUUGUCGAUCGACUUGGGAAACUGGAUUCCCAUACUCCUUUAAUUGACCUGAUAAACUAAUUGCGUAUCAUUCAGGUAUGAUAAUAUUCCUCCAGAUAUAAACAGGCUGAGGUGCAGGGUCAACUAUCAUGCUCUGAAGUUUCUUCCCAAGAUUGAGCAGAUGGUUGAUCAACUCGUUUCAAGGAUGAGAAACCGCACUGGUAGUUCAAAUCCUUUCAUGGCUCUUCACUUGAGAUUUGAGAAGGGAAUGGCGGGUCUAUCAUUCUGUGAUUUUGUUGGAACAAGGUCGGAGAAAGCUCUCAUGGCGGCAUACAGAAAGAAAAAAUGGCCUCGGCGAUUUAAGGUUAUCUAGAUUAUGAUCACUAUUCCUAUAAAGCCGACAGUGACCGUUUCAUUUGUGAUAUAUUUGUCUUCCUUUUUGUUUACUUUGUUGAUUAUUUCAGUUUAUUUUGUUGAUGAUUUUGUUUAAUGAACUUUAUUAUAUAUUGGUUAGUGAAGAUUAUGAACUAGGCGUUGGCCUGUUGCCUUUCAGUUUAUUAGACAUUUGUUUGAGAUUUCAAUUUAUUUUGUUGA